AAAGGCAGCCCUUCGAGUGAAACUCCAAAAAAUGAAACACAUAGUAGUGCUCCAUCUAUCGUUACCCACACACUGACAACAAUAUCAAUCCAUCAAAGGUGUGUUACUAGUGCAGUGCUAGUCCAUGCUCAGUAACUUCAAUUAAUAACUCAUGAUUCAGCUCAGCUGCAUUAGUGGUAUCUUCUUGAACACUCAGCUAGUAGGAAAUGCCCUCAAAUGUUGGUAGAUAAGUACACAAUGACAACCUAAUGCAAUUCUCAUCAAAUGCAAGCACUUUUAGACCUGUGAAUGCAUCCUCAAUCUACUUGACAACUUCAAAC
rnacentral:lncRNA from 1 species